rnacentral:lncRNA from 1 species
GUGAGUAGCCAUCUUGGAAGCAGGUCUUCCAACCCCAGUUAAGCUUUCAGAUGACUGCAGCGCCAGCCAACAUCUGACUGCAACCUCAUGAGACCUUGAGCCAGAACCACCCAGCUAAGCUGCUCCUAAAUUUCUUAGAUUGUUACAAGAAUGGCUCCCACUCAAUCGGCUUUCCAGUCUCCAGCCUGGGUGCAGAGCCCUCCCACACUGAUGGCCAUGUGACUUGCUUUGACCAAUGGCACAUGAGGAAACAUGUUACAAGCAGAGAAUUAAAAAAUGCUUGGACGUGAGGCUUGCCCUCUCUUGCUCCCUGAGAAUGCCGUAUGAGGAAGCCUGAGCUAGCCCACUGGAGGCGAAGGAGCAGAGAGUCGUAGCCCAGCUGAGGCCUCCUAGAUCCAUCAGCUUUCAGCCAGUCUACAAACUGAC